UCUAGAAGCUAGCACUUGUUUGAUGGAAAAGCCAAAGCCGCCUCACCCUAGCUUUUAGAAGCAGGAGAUGGCUUUUGUCACUGUAGCGGUGAUUACUGUAGUUUAAUGAACUUCUGAAAAUACCAAUUUCUGUGCUCACUUCGUUUCAGCAAUUACACGAUGCCAUGAAACCUUCUCUUCCGUGUUCAAUUCGAAGCCUCACGCAGCGCUGCAAACACAAACGCAUAAUCUCUCUACCUGAUUGCCUUCACCUCGCCUCUCAUCCGUGUUCGAAAUUGAAGCCUCAAUCCUUGAUUGCUGGCUGCUUGGCAAUUUGAUUCACGGAAGCAUCUUUAAGAACUCCAAACUUUUAAGUUCUUAUCAAGUUCCACUAGUGAGCAUUCCGAGGAAUUGACAUUGAGGAGAACUGGGAUAAGGUUAAGACCAUAUUUGUCCCAACGGGAGCUUCCCUUUCACCAGAUGUAUCUGCUCCACUGGUUGCGACCCUUCCCUUGGAGGGGCCUUUAUUGAGCUUAUUUAGCAGGUGCAAGUAAAAGGUGUGCAGGCUGGCUUUAAAUAUAAUGUGAAGAAGUAUACAUCUCUCUGUUACCUCUUCAUCUAUCUUUGCUUGUGUUCCUUUUGCAGGUUAGUUUUGUUGUCAUUGUGUAUUGUGUUCUGUGUGUUCUGUGUACCUAUCCCUAUGAACUAUCUAUAUGGAAACAACACAAAGCACUCAACCUCUCCUCAACAUAUCCAAAAUGCAUAUCUUUUACUUACAGAACAACA